GUCGAGCGAGCGGAACUAACAGAUUUACUUCGGUAAUGACGUUAGGAAAGCGAGCGGCGGAUGGGUGAGUAACACGUGGGGAACCUGCCCCAUAGUCUGGGAUACCACUUGGAAACAGGUGCUAAUACCGGAUAAGAAAGCAGAUCGCAUGAUCAGCUUUUAAAAGGCGGCGUAAGCUGUCGCUAUGGGAUGGCCCCGCGGUGCAUUAGCUAGUUGGUAAGGUAAAGGCUUACCAAGGCGAUGAUGCAUAGCCGAGUUGAGAGACUGAUCGGCCACAUUGGGACUGAGACACGGCCCAAACUCCUACGGGAGGCAGCAGUAGGGAAUCUUCCACAAUGGACGCAAGUCUGAUGGAGCAACGCCGCGUGAGUGAAGAAGGUUUUCGGAUCGUAAAGCUCUGUUGUUGGUGAAGAAGGAUAGAGGUAGUAACUGGCCUUUAUUUGACGGUAAUCAACCAGAAAGUCACGGCUAACUACGUGCCAGCAGCCGCGGUAAUACGUAGGUGGCAAGCGUUGUCCGGAUUUAUUGGGCGUAAAGCGAGCGCAGGCGGAAGAAUAAGUCUGAUGUGAAAGCCCUCGGCUUAACCGAGGAACUGCAUCGGAAACUGUUUUUCUUGAGUGCAGAAGAGGAGAGUGGAACUCCAUGUGUAGCGGUGGAAUGCGUAGAUAUAUGGAAGAACACCAGUGGCGAA
rnacentral:rRNA from 1 species